rnacentral:rRNA from 1 species
UACGUAGGGGGCUAGCGUUGUCCGGAUUUAUUGGGCGUAAAGAGCGUGUAGGCGGCCAGGUAGGUCUGCUGUGAAAACUCGAGGCUCAACCUCGAGACGUCGGCGGAAACCAUCUGGCUAGAGUCCGGAAGGGGAAAGUGGAAUUCCUGGUGUAGCGGUGAAAUGCGUAGAUAUCAGGAGGAACACCGGUGGUGCAAACGGCUUUCUGGACCGUAACUGACGCUGAGACACGAAAGCGUGGGGAGCAAACAGG